rnacentral:rRNA from 1 species
GACGAACGCUGGCGGCGUGCUUAACACAUGCAAGUCGAACGGAAAGGCCCUGCUUUUGUGGGGUGCUCGAGUGGCGAACGGGUGAGUAACACGUGAGUAACCUGCCCUUGACUUUGGGAUAACUUCAGGAAACUGGGGCUAAUACCGGAUAGGAGCUCCUGCUGCAUGGUGGGGGUUGGAAAGUUUCGGCGGUUGGGGAUGGACUCGCGGCUUAUCAGCUUGUUGGUGGGGUAGUGGCUUACCAAGGCUUUGACGGGUAGCCGGCCUGAGAGGGUGACCGGACACAUUAGGACUGAGAUACGGACCAGACUCCUACGGGAGGAAGCAGUGGGGAAUAUUGAAAAAUGGGCGGAAGCCUGAUGCAGCAACGCCGCGUGCGGGAUGACGGCCUUCGGGUUGUAAACCGCUUUCGCCUGUGACGAAGCGUGAGUGACGGUAAUGGGUAAAGAAGAACCGGCUAACUACGUG